CCUACGGGUGGCAGCAGUGAGGAAUAUUGGUCAAUGGGCGAGAGCCUGAACCAGCCAAGUCGCGUGAGGGAGUACUGCCCUAUGGGUUGUAAACCUCUUUUGUCGGGGAGCAAAAGCCGGACGUGUCCGGCUGUGAGAGUACCCGAAGAAAAAGCAUCGGCUAACUCCGUGACAGCAGCCGCGGUAAUACGGAGGAUGCGAGCGUUAUCCGGAUUUAUUGGGUUUAAAGGGUGCGCAGGCGGAUUUUUAAGUCAGCGGUAAAAUCGUGGGGCUCAACCCCAUCCAGCCGUUGAAACUGGGGAUCUAGAGUGUGCGAGAGGUAUGCGGAAUGCGUGGUGUAGCGGUGAAAUGCAUAGAUAUCACGCAGAACCCCGAUCGCGAAGGCAGCAUACCGGUGCACAACUGACGCUCAGGCACGAAAGCGUGGGUAUCGAACAGGAUUAGAUACCCCUGUAGUC
rnacentral:rRNA from 1 species